rnacentral:rRNA from 1 species
UCCUUAGAUGUUCUGGGCCGCACGCGCGCUACACUGACGAAGUCAGCGAGCAUGUCCUACGCCGACAGGUGCGGGGAAUCUUGUCAAACUUCGUCGUGAUGGGGAUUGAUUAUUGAAAUUCUUGAUCAUCAACGAGGAAUUCCUAGUAAGCGCAAGUCAGCAGCUUGCGUUGAUUACGUCCCUGCCCUUUGUACACACCGCCCGUCGCUACUACCGAUUGAAUGGUUUAGUGAGAUCUUCGGAUUGGCGCCACUGCGGCUCAGCAAUGGGCUCGGUGGAUGCCGAAAAGUUGAUCAAACUUGAUCAUUUAGAGGAAGUAAAAGUCGUAACA